CCUUCUUUCUAGACCUUACUGGGCGCCGACGGCCAGGCAGGGGGGGUGGGGGGUGGGGGGCCUCGCUUUUCUUUUUAUUGUUAGGCUCGCAUCGCUUUGGGAUCCGUCGCGUCGUCUCCUUGGCUAGGGGCCGCUACCGCCGCCGCUACCUCCUCGACUGGGCGUCGCCCAACCGCCCCUACCUAAAGAGGUAGAAGGCGCCCCUCAGGCUCCCGCUCGCCCCACGGCCCCCCUUGGUACUCACAUAGUUGUAGUCCGGAGGUAGGGGUAGGGGUACGCGGUUGCUCCUCGUCGGCGGCGGCCUCUUCUACCUCGUCCUCCUCCUCCUCCCCCUCCCCCUCUUCCUCCUCACCCAGAUGUCCCUCCUCCUAGCCUAGUGGUCCAUGGCGCCCGACACCCUCUCGGCGAAGCGGCCGUUUAUGCCGAGGAAGCUGCUGGUCUGUUGAGAACCAGGGUACGCGAAAUGUAAGCCUGGGUAGGGCUCGAUGCGGUCUGGAGUAACAUGGUAGGUCUAGAAGCCGUAGGCCCACCGGUUGGACCUUCUGCCAGAGGUCACCGGCGACGUACAGGUGCCGAAACAGCGGCGCUCCCUGUGGAGCCUAGUGUUAGCGUUGAAGGAGAAGUUGGCGUGGUCACUAUUGACGGUCCAGGAGUGGGUUGUCCUAGGUAUGGAUGACGACUGUCCGGGCAGCGCGCGCUAGCACUAGUAACUGGGCUAGUGCUAACUCAAGGUCGACUUCCACUUCUCGUUCUGCCUGGGGCUUCUCCAGCUCUACGACCGGAAGCCCUAGAAGUUGAUGGGGGUCUGGAUGGAACGGUGUGUACACUAGGCGAGACCAUAGGAGACGCUGGCCACGUGCUAGGUCGAACGGAUGCGCGGCGACCUGGGGAGCCAGCUCCGCUGGCAGUAGGUACAGGCCUAGUAGCUGCCACACACCGGUCUCCCAGAGGCACCCGCGCAGCAGCGGCUCCAGUGUUGGCACGCCCUUCCUCUCCACGACGACGAGCUGAGGGCCCUGCCCUUCUACGGCUAGUCGGGAAGUUGGCCGCGCCAGCUCGAGAGCUCCGUGCAGCACAGCCACCUGGAGCUCCCCCCCUUCGACCAACAGAGGCACCACCGUAGGGGAGUCUGGCGACCGUUUCUUCUGCCACUACUACCACCACCGCGACGGCAGCAACAACGCGCUCCGCUCCGGCACAAGUGCGGUCUCUCCCGGCCGUGCUCGUUACCGUGGACGCUAGAACCGAAGACGUUCCACCUCCAACGACAACGUACCAGGGAACAAAGCUCGAACACCUUACUCACCGCGCGGGAGCGCUUUGAGCGCUUCCUCUCCCGUACUUACUCACAAGAAACACAAGGACACAUCACUAGUCGAGUCCGCUCGUGACCUUGGCUCCAAGAAGGUACAGACAGGCGGAGAAAAAAAGUGAACAGAAACAAGUCAAUAUUCAUUCAAAACACAACUAGAUGAAACCAGACAAUGGACAACCGAACGUUCUAUCAGACGGUCGUUUUUCUAUUGUGAACGAUUGUACUUCUUAAGACGGUCACUCAAUUGGAUGUCGUUAAAUUAGAUUGGAAAGGUCCAUAAAUUGUUCACUAUUUGUCACUAUUUACAUGUGUGUCAAUUAAACUAGGGGGGUUCAAUUGGAUGUAUACGUGACAGACGGAGUAGUAGUAGAAGAGACGUAUCCGAAGUCGUCCAGAAACUCUCAAGGACCGGCGGACCGCAGGAACCGAACGCUGCUGAGGAGCCGCGGCGUCGACGUCGACGAGCACAACUCCGAGCGCGGCGUCUGCUCCGUGUACGGAAACGUCCACGACGACGUCUUCCGUAGGUCGCACUAGAGGUCCACCUACUACAGGGGUUCCAAGAAGCUCUACAGUUAGAGGAAGAGGGGUCGGCCCUACAGGGGUUCCAAGAAGACUCUACAGUUAGAGGAAGAGG
rnacentral:rRNA from 1 species